rnacentral:rRNA from 1 species
AUGACCCUAAGUCAGAUGGGAUUACUCACUAAGUUUAAGCUUAUCAAUAAGUAGAGGAAAAGAAACUUACUAGGAUUCCUUUAGUAAUAGCAACCAAAUCGAGAAUAGCCCAGCUUGAGAAUUGGGCACCCCAUGUGUCCAAAUUGUAGUCUGGAGAAGCAUCUUUAGCGAUAGACUGAGCCUAAGUCCCUUAGAAAGGGGCACCGGGGAGGGUGAGAGCCUUGUUAUGCCUAGACCCUAUUACACCACAUGGUGUGGUCUGUGAGUCAGGUUAUUUGGGAAUGCAGCUUUAAUCAAGCGAUAAAUUCCAUCCAAGGCUAAAUAGAAGGAAGAGUUCAAUAGUAAAGAAAUAUCAUGAGGGAAAGAUGAAAAGGACUUUGAAAAGAGAGUCGACAAGUGCUUGAAAAUCAUUAGUAGCAAAGUGGAUAAGGGUCGAGGAUGCACCCUAAUUGGACGUGGAAUGGUGAAAGCCAGUUUGUCAAUCAGCCCAAGGAGUGGACUGACGCAGGUCAUUGCAGCUGCCCAAGCUUUAGCUUUUGAUAUGCUCAUAGAGAUGUUGUCAUCGUGAUCAUAAAAUGCAGCACACACCACCUCGACAUACCUUGGCACCAAUGUGCUCUUGGCAUCGAUCGUGGGCUCCCUAUCUGGCCUAUCUUGAAACAUAAACAAAGGAGUUUGAUAUGUGUGCAAGUCAAUAGGUUAGAAAACCCAAAAAGUGCAGGAAAGCUAAUUGGGAAUAUCCCUCAUAGGUGCACUACUAAUCGACCUUGAUCUUCUAAGAAGGGUUCGAAUGUGAGCAUGCCUGUUAGGAGUCGAAAAAUGGUGAAUUAUGCCUAAGUAGGGCAAUGCCAAAGGAAACUUUGGUAGAGGCCAGUAGUGAUACUGACAUGCAAAUCAUUCGUUUGACUUGAGUAUAGGGGUGAAAGACUAAUCAAACUUCCUAGUAGCUAGUUCCCUUCAAAGUUCCCUUAGGAUAAAUAGAGCCCUUAGCGAGUUUUAUUGAGUAAAGCCAAUGAUUAAAGGCAUUGUGGGCGCAACACCCUCGACCUAUUCUUAAACUUUAAAUAGGUAGGAUGGCAUGACUGAUUCAUUGAGCCAUGGCUUAAAAUCAAGAGCUCCAAGUGGGCCAUUUUUGGUAAGCAAAAUUGGUAAUGCAAGAUGAAUCAAAAGCCAGGUUAUAAUGCCCAAUUGUGCACUAACCUAGAACCCACAAAGGGUAUUGGUCGAUUAAAACAGUCAAACAGUGGUCAUGAAAGUCAAAAUCCACUAAGGAGUAUGUAACAACUCACUUGACAAAUCAACUAGCCCUGAAAAUGGAUGUCACUUAAGCACGCGAUCUAUUCCUAGCCAUCAAGGCAAGGGCUAGGCCUUAAUGAGUAGGAUGGCAUAGUGGUCAUGGCAAAACCCAACGAAGAAGCUCUGGUAGAUCGAUCGUUGGUGUAGAUCUUGAUGGUACUAGCAAAUAUUCAAAUGAGAACUUUGAAGGUUGAAGAGGGGAAAGGUUCCAUGUGAACGACACUUGCACAUGGGUUAGUCAAUCCUAAGAGAUAAGGGAAGCCUGUCCGAUAGCAGGUUCAGCAUGAGCUUUAAAAGGGAAUCAGGUUAAAAUCCUUGAACUAUGAUGUGAUAACUAACCAUAAUGUUAGAGAGUCUAGAGACAUCAACAGAGGCCUCGAGAAAAGUUAUCUUUUUUGUUUAACGGCCUGCCACAUUAGAAAUGGCUCAAUCAAUAAUAGGGCCCAACGGCUAAAAGAGCGUUACACGAUGCACGGUGUUUAGUGCAACCUUAGCAGCCUUUGAAAAUUAGGUGGAUCAAGUGUCAUUUAUGCCCGGUCUUACUCAUAACCGCAUUAGGUCUCUAUGGUGAACAACUUUUGGUUGAUGAAACAAUGUAGGCAAGGGAAGUCAGCAAAAUGGAUUUGUAACCUCUAGAAAAAGAUUGGCUCUGAAGGCUAGGCAUAGAGUCCCAAUCCCGAACCUAUUAGCUGUUGGUGCACAACUUAAAUUGUUCCUAUGGUGAGAGUGAGUCACCACAUGCCAGCCAAGGGAUGGACUUGAAACUACUCCCUCAGGGAUCUUCCCCAAGUGAGAAACAGUCAACUCAAAACUAGUACAGACAAAGGGAAUCCAACUAUUUAAUUAAAAACAAAGCAUUAUAAUGGUCCUUAUGCAUGGUUACGUCAUGUGAUUUAUACCCAGUGCUUUGAAUGUCAAAGUGAAGAAAUUUAACUAAGUGCAGGUAACUAGUGGGAGUAAUAUGACUCUUUUAAUGUAGCCAAGUGCCAUUUUCAUCUAAUUAAUGUCACACAUGAAUGGAUUAAUGGGAUUCCCACUAUCCCUAUCUACUAUCUAGUAAAGCGAUAACCAAGGGAAUGAGCCUGGUAGAAUCAACUAGGAAAGAAGACCCUGUUGAGCUUAACUCUAGUCCAACAUGAUAGGUGUAGGAUAAGUGGAAGCUUUCAAGCAAAAUUGAAAUGCCACUACUUUUAACAUUAUUUUACUUAUUUUGUGAAUCAAAGGUGGGGCAUGAUCCCUUCUUUUGCACACAAGAUUAGACUCCAUCAGUCAAUCUUGGAGGAAGACAUUGUCAAGUGGGGAGUUUGGUAGGGUGGCAUAUUUAUUAAAAGAUAAUACAGGUGUCCUAAGAUAAGCUCAACAAGAAUAGAAAUCUUGUGUGGAACAAAAGGGUAAAAGCUAAUUUGAUUCUGAUUUCCAAUAUGAAUACGAACAAUGAAAGCUGGCCUAUCAAUCCUUCAAACCUUUAGAAAUUGAAGUUAGAUGUGUCAGAAAAGUUAUCUCAAGGAUAAUUAACUUGUGGUAGCCAAGCAUUCCUAGCGACAUUGCUUUCUGAUCCUUCGAUGUUAGCUUUUCCUAUCAAUGUGAAGCAGAAUUCAUCAAGUGUUAGGUGUUUCACCCACCUAUAGGGAAAGUGAGCUAGGUUUAGACUGUCAUGAGAUAGGUUAGUUUUACCCAACUACUUGCAACAUUGUAAUAGCAAUUUAUCCUAGUACGAGAGGAACCAUUGAAUAUCACAAUUGGUCGUCAUGUUAAAAAGUCAGUGGUAUGAAGCAACCAUGCAUUGGAUUAUGACUGAACACCUUUAAGUUAGAAUGAGGGCUAAAAGUGAUGCACACACCUGUCACCUAAUUGUCGACCCAUAGUAGAGGCCCAUAGCCCAAGAAGGCACGUGUUGUAAAUGCAACCCUUGAGGCAAACAAGCCACAUGGGCCUCCUUAGAGCU